GGCUAAGGGCGCGGGUUCCUGCACUGUGUUCGGGGUCGAGUGGGGGGCAUGGUUGGCUUGAAGUGGAUCUUGAGGAUCUGGGCAUCCGGUUCUCUGGCCAACUUGGGCAUUGGGUAAGUCCCAGCUGUUCACUGGUCCCCACGCCGAGCCCAGGGAGGCGUUUCGGAGCCAAAUCUCUCAGGCUCCGUCGGGGGGAGAGUGAUGGGGAAGGGAGGCAAGAAGGAAUACAGUAAGAACCACUAGGAGGUAGGCACUUUGGGGGACACGUUGAGAAGGUCGGCCUGCCUCACGAAUAAGGAGCCGGUGCUGUUGAUGGUGGAGGAAGGGCCGGGGUUGCCUUUGUCUGAGGCUGCCUGGUGCUUCAAGGCUCGGGCUGUCCGGAACCAUCCUUUGUUGUUGCCACAAGGAGGGGGUUGACACUGCUUUUAGACUAGUCUUACUUGGGAUCACUUGGUGUGGGAGAAAAAGUCAUGAAAUUUGUUUUUAGAUACUCAAGGACAGGUUGGGAUUGGGGGGGGCGUGCUGGGGCAUGGAGAGGCCUGUGGACAGAGAGAUAAGGAAUGAACCCCGUGCCCUAGGUAACUGAAGCUUGGAGCUGGAGGAACCAGGGACCAGUUAGGGUCUGGGGCCAGAUGCAGCAGUCGUAUGAAGAUACGAGGAAAGCAGACUUGACAAAGUUUUGAUGAGGAAGAAAGAGAAAGUAAAACUUUUUAGAAAAGUGCCCCUCAUUUUAUCCGGCACACAGAAGGCACCCACUAAAUGGUAGCUAUUUUAUUAUUGGGAUAUUUGGUUUUCAAAGUAUUUUGUCCCCCCCAAAUUAAUCCCUGGGAAACUGUUGGUUUCUGUGGGUGGAAACUAGGAGGAGUGAAGGCAGGUUAACAUGACCAGCUUUAUGUGAUCUUACCGUGUAUUAUGCUCGUGAUCCCUGUUUGUUUUCCUGCUAGGAUGCCACCGGUCACUAGGCCUUGGGGUGUUUUUGGUUUUUGGUUUUUCUAUGUACGGGGAGUAUCUGCGGUCUUCACCCAGCAGUGGCUGCUCUACUUAAAAGAUAAGAUAGGAGAAACUACUCUGUAAUCUUUCCGUGGGGACCUCGCCACAGGUCCCCUGCAAAUUGCUAGUAUGGCCGUUCAUAAAAAGUUGUGUUGUUAACAGCCUGUUUAGUACGAAGUUUUGAAGCUCUUUGGUUUGUGGUUUCUGUUCUCCUGUGGAAUACAAUGGAGAUAGGCUACGCUGGAAUGUAAGAACAAAGUAGGAACAGAAAUAAGAGGGCUGACUCACAGCACUUGGAUUCCUGGCUUCCGUUUCACCUGUCUGGUUUCCAGUCUCUCACAUUCGCUCGCUCUCUCUCUCUCUCUCUCUCAAGUUUAUUUAUCUUUCUUUUUUGAGAGAGAGAGUGUAUGUACAUGAGCAGGAUAGAGGGAGAGAGAGAGAGAGAGAGAGAGAGAGAGAGAGAGAGAGAAUUCCAAGCAGGUUCCGUGGUGUCUGUGCAGAGCCUAACACGGAGCUUGAUCCCUUGACCCAGGGAUCAUGACCUGAACUGAAAUCAAGAGUUGGUCACUUAACUGACUGAGCCACCCAGGUGUCCUAAGUCUCACUUUCUUAAGUGUUCAGACAACAGCUACAGGAAUUUAGCCCUUAAAUUUAUUUAUAUUUUUUAAGCUUUAUUUGUUUAUUUUGUGUGUGUGUGUAUAUGAGAGAGAGAGCAUGAGCCUGGGAGGGGCAGGGAGAGGGAGAGAGAGAAUCCCAAGCAGAUUCCGCGCAAUCAGUGUGGAGCCCUGCGGAGCCCGACGUGGGGCUUGAACUCACAAACCGUGAGAUCAUGACCUGAGCCGAAACCAAGAGUCAGGGGCUUAACCAACUGAGCCACCCAGGCGCCCCAGCCUUUAAAUUUCUUGACCGUAGAGUUUCAACAUUUCCAUUCCCAUUUUGUUUCAUACCAGAUUGUCAUCUUGGUCGAUAAAUGUGUUGCAUAUAUGUUGAACCUAACAUCCACCUUUUGUGUUGCUUAGAAAAAUAAACUCGUGUGCAACUAUUAACCUGCAGAUCGGAGCAGGGUAGUGUGUGCGUGUUCCCGCAGCGGGGACUCAUUUAGCCAGGGUAAGACUUUGUAAAACAUUCAGACUCUUCUUCUCUUUAUUCUCUACACUUUUGACUUUACCAAGAGAAGCUGCCAGGCUGUCUGAUGGUUGCUUUUGCUAGUCAGAGCUACCUCUGUGCACCUUUCCUAGACCCAAGGUCACCGCUAGUAACUGGAGAGGCGCAGCUGCCAAACUGCCUUUCCUUUCUCCCUGUGCCACAGCUUUGCGAAGGGCUCAGAGCCUGAAGAACACCCACGGACUCUGUCCUGUUCCUGCUACCCGGUUCCCAAGGUGUGAUGCAGAGAGGUCUCAACCUGUGACCCAGGGAACAAAGACGACUGUGAGGUCCUCCUCCGGUCUUUUCUUUCUCCUGUUUAUCUGGAAUACACACAGAAGGGAGCCACAAAGGGAUCGGGUCCCGGCAGACAGAUGUCAGCAUAUCCAAAUCCUCCUUUUAACAAAGCCUGUCUUUUAUUUUCCUUUGUAAAAGUAACAUGCUCACCGAGGAAAGAGGAAACUUGGAAAUGCCGAAAGUAAUAAACGAAAACUACCUGUAAUUCUGCAUACACCGUUAACAUUUGUAUCUAGUUGCUAGUUGGGUUUUUGUUUGUUUGUUUGUUUUGUUUUUAAACGCAUUUGAGAUCACACGUGUCCAUGCUUAGCAUUUUGCCCUCUGGAGAGCAGGGACCAUGUCUGACCGCGUUACCUGAGUACCCUGUAUAUUGCUUAUGCAGCGCGGGCAUUCGGUGAGGAUUUUAAUGAAUAAGUAAAUACUUCUCUUAUUUAUCAUAUCGGAAACCAUCUUCCAUGCUCUUUAAAAACAAACCCUCUUAAAUUUCUGCCUGUUCAGAUCACCAUUGUUUUUUGCUUUCACGAGGAGCAGUGUCUGUUGAAUGAAUAGCCAUUAUCUUAUUGUUGAAUGUUUAUUAAGCCUUUGAAGAUAUGCACGGCCUUUUCACUAUCAGGGAAUUUGGGCAACAGUAACAAAUCUGGGACCUUGGCAAGUGUUAAAAGAUUAAGGGGGGGGGUGUUUCUGGGUCUUUGUUGUGAUGGAUGUGAUACAUGCUGUGGAUGAGAGAAUCCAGUCGCACCAACACCUGGGAGGAGUAACUGUCGGUGCCGGGUCAAGUUGAAGGGGACCAGCUGCUUCCCUCCUGGGUAUACAGUCUAGAGUGAGGGUUGCCAGGGGUUCCUGCGUGGCUCCGUCGGUUAAGAGUCCGGCUUCGGCUCAGGUCAUGAUCUCGUGGUCUGUGAGUUUAAGCCCCGCAUUGGUCUCUGUGCUGACAGCUCAGAGCCUGGAGCCCCUCCCCACUCACGCUCUUUCUCUCUCUGUCUCUCAAAAGAUAAACACACGUUAACAAACAAAGUGGGGGUUGACAGACGACCUUUGUAAAGGGCCAGAGAGUAAGUACUUCAGUCUUUGUGGACCCUUCCACUCUGCUAUUGGGGGCCUGAAGGCAGUCGGGAUGGUACCUAGACAGGUAGGUGUGGCCGAGUUCUAAUAAAACUUGAUUUGCAAGAAGUAGGCAGUGGACCAUAUCUGGCCCAAAGGCCGUAGUUUGCCACCUCUUUCUCCAGCGAGGAAGACCCCUGUGUUUGAGUUAGAAGAUGCAUGUAAUGAUACUCCCUGAAACACUGCUCGUAAUAAUGAAAACUUGGCAAGAGAGGAUCUUGGCCUAUUAGCAGACUGGAUAAACAGACUGUGGUUUAGCAGGCGAUAGAAAACUAAGUUGUGGUAGAGUGAUCUAGUUCGAGAUGUAUCUCAUGUAACUGAAUCUCAAAAAUUACGGGGUGCAGUCACGAAGUAAGUUGCAAAAAAGGUAGUCAUGGCAUAAUGCCGUUCGUGUAUACAGACGUGCCCGGUGUGAAACGGCCCGACGUGUUGCGGACACAUGUCAGUUAAACCCGGGUGGAAAUCCAGGCCCGGCCGUUUGCCAGCACCGUGACUUUGGUUAAAGAACUUCUCUGAGCCUCAGUUUCUUCCUCUGAUAAAUAGGGACUAAUUAUGCCUUCCCGGAAGGACUCUUACAAAGGUUAAGUGAGGUAUGUAUUGAAAACACUUAAAGAAUGUGAAAUUCAGUAACCCUAUCAGCAAGUGCCUGGCACACCUGAUUGGUAUUUUUCCAGCAUUCUUCCCUGGGCGUCCUCUGUUGCACGUGUUUCUAGAGAGGCAGGACUUGAAGGGUGGAGUAGGGGGCAUUGGUGGAGAGGAGAGCGUGUCCGCCUUGCACCUGGAAUGUGCGAGCUCAAUCCUUUCACCAGUUAGGUCUCAAUUCGUCUUUGUAAUAAAUGCGUGAGGCAUGGAUUUCUUCCCACUUCCCAGGUAGGGAGACUGAGGCUAAGACAUGAGCAGAUUUAUCGGAAGCUACAUCUGCAAGCUAGCAAGCCAUAGUCGGCUGCCCUUAAAGCCAUUGCUUUGUUCACUCUGUCCCCAGCCUUUGCUUUUCCCCUGUUGAGGGUCUCUCGUUUCCCUUGCUGUCUCUGCUCAGGUGAUCUCAUGGGGGUGCUGACAUCAUUGUUUCCUAGGAGGACUUCAGGAGGAGGUGAUGUGACUUGCCCCAGGCAGAGUUAACCUGCAUCAGACUCUGAAGCUCCUAUGGUGAAAAUCUACCAGGAAAAAAAAAAGGAAACUCUUAUCAUUUGUUUGGUGUCCAAACCGGGAACGAAGUCUGAUGUUCCGAAAUGGGAUGAAUUUUGAAAAGUCCCUUUCGAAAGUUCUGGAAGUACUUUUUCUCCACUCUGGUUUGAUGCUUUGGAACAUUAAUUUUUUCGGUGGGGCAGUAGGUGGAGGUAGGACCGGUUUUGUGAGACCGCCUCCUUCGUCGCUCCAGAUUCCUCGCGUCACCCUGUGUAGAACUUCGCAGUCAGUACUUUUGUCCCAAAUUGAAUCAUUGUCACCUCUCGUCUUUAAAAUGCCAUUGUCAUUAAAAUCCACUCUUGGAUACGAUUUUCUCAUUUUCACGAGUCCCUCCGAUCCCGAGUUAUUUGGCGUGAAAGUUAACUACCACUGUAUGUUGCAGGUUUUGAGAAUUAAAAAGUGUGAGAAAUUAGCCAUGUUUAAACAAUUAAUGGUGGACCGAUGGGAUUCAUUUUCAUUUUCAACUGGUGAGCCGCAGUCUCUUAUUAUCAGAAGUUACUCGCUUCGUGCUAUAGGAAUCCACUGGUUGUCUCGUUAAAUAUUUAAACUUGUAAUCAGGCUUCUAAAAAAAGGAACGUAGUAUUUUUUUAAGACGCCGAAGCUUUACCUUGCUAUCAGCUGCCUGUAACCUCUGUUACUCUAAAAGCUGAAGAAGCAGGUAGGUUUCAUUUUGAUCAACCGUCAGCUGGUAGGCCCGUUGGCCACUGUCACAAUGCCAUCAUGGGCUCCGAGGGGCGGCGCUUCUGAGUUCCUGAAAUGUAAGUUAUUGGGCAAGAUAGUGUGACUCUGGGGUUUGGAAGGAGUCCCAGCUCCCUCGCACGUGACCGGAGGGGGUGGAUGUUCGGGAAGGUUGGAAAGCCCACCGGCUGGGUAGUUUUAAUGGUGGCGUCUCUGCCUCUUCUGUCUUGUCUGGACGUGUGAUCUGCAGCAGCGUGAAAUUAAUGCAGGAAUCGAGCCUAAAGCUUUGAUUGAGUGUGGUACUAUAAAUACGAUUGAUGGAAGCAAAUCAUUCUUUUACUUAGCAAAGAUCUUAUGUAAAAAAACUACUCUUUAGGAUCAGAUGCGUGUGGUUUUCGGGCGACCUCAGAUGGCAAAUUUACUCUCAUUUAUGGUGCGUUUCAAAAAUUGUAGGGACUCACCGAAAGAAUCAGUAGAUACUCAUCGUCUUGGAAAGCUUCACACAAUGUAUUACCAAUUGAAAAAGACCCAGAUGUAAAAGCACGCACAUAAGUGGCACAUGCACACAAUACAGAAGGUUCUUAAGAAGCUUUCAAAGAAUUACAGGAGAUUCGUGUUGACGUUAAACAUUUCUUAAUUCCCACACCCACUCUCGGUCACAUGAAAGUAAAAGAUGGAUCACUGGCUUCUUUGUGAAAUAAGUUCUAACAGACUAUUGAAGGACGGAGCUUUUUUUUUUU